UACAGAGGGUGCGAGCGUUGUCCGGAAUCACUGGGCGUAAAGGGCGCGUAGGCGGCUUUGUAAGUCGGGGGUGAAAGCCUGUGGCUCAACCACAGAAUUGCCUUCGAUACUGCAUGGCUUGAGACCGGAAGAGGUAAGUGGAACUGCGAGUGUAGAGGUGAAAUUCGUAGAUAUUCGCAAGAACACCAGUGGCGAAGGCGACUUACUGGACACAUAUUGACGCUGAGGUGCGAAAGCGUGGGGAGCAAACAGG
rnacentral:rRNA from 1 species